GCUUAGGCUUAGCGUUAGGGUUAGGGUUAGGGUUAGGCUUAGGGUUUCCGUUAGGGUUAGGGUUAGGGUUAGGGUUAGGGUUAGGGUUAGGGUUAGGGUUAGGGUUAGGGUUAGUGUUAGGGUUAGGGUUAGGUUAGGGUUAGGGUUAGGGUUAGGGUUAGGGUUAGGGUUAGGGUUAGGGUUAGGGUUAGGGUUACCAUUACGGUUAGGGUUAGGGUUACGGUUAGGGUUAGGGUAAGGAUUAGGGUUAGGGUUAGGGUUAGGGUUAGGGUAAGGGUAAGGAUUAGGGUUAGGGUUAGGGUAAGGAUUAGGGUUAGGAUUAGGGUUAGGGUUACGGUUAGGGUUAGGGUUAGGGUUAGGGUUACGGUUAGGGUUUGGGUUAGGGUUAGGGUUAGGGUUAGGGUUAGGGUUAGGGUUAGGGUUAGGGUUAGGGUUAGGGUUAGGGUUUAGGGUUAGGGUUAGGGUUAGGGUUAGGGUUAGGGUUAGGGUUAGGGUUAGGGUUAGGGUUAGGGUUAGGGUUAGGGUUAGGGUUAGGGUUAGGGUUAGGGUUCGGGUUAGGGUUAGGGUUAGGGUUAGGGUUUGGUUUAGAGUUAGGGUAAGGAUUAGGGUUAGGGUUAGGGUUAGGGUUAGGGUUAGGGUUAGGGUUAGGGUUAGGGUUAGGGUUUGGAUUAGGUUUAGGGUUAGGGUUAGGCUAAGGGUAAGGUUAGGGUUAGGGUUAGGGUUAGGUUAGGGUUUGGGUUAGGUUUAGGACUAGGGUUCUGAUUAGGGCUAGGGUUAUGGUUAAGGUUAGUUAUGCUGUCUUCAGGGUAAUUCUAGCCUGCUGACCUGCAUAAUCAAUUACCAGAUUACUUUGCAUAAGCUGAUGCAACGUAAAUUAAAAAUCAAAACAUUUGUCUACUUAUGCGAGGAAUGACUGAUUUCUACAUUCGUUUUUAAUAAUUUUAAAGCCUUCAUUGCCAGUAUUUAGACAUGAAUAAGGUAUUAUUUGUUGCCUUGUAUUGCUGUCAGACCUAAGCAUAAUAAUGCUCUGUUAAAUAUGUCUCAAGUUCAAACUGAAGUUGCUCAUAACAGCCACUGGAAGGGAACUAACAGACAGAAAGCAGAGCCUGUUUCUAUAUUGUCAGGAGCUCUAUUUUUCAAUUUCAACUAACCUGACCUGGAAUUAAAUAGAAUCUAUUGACACUGCUAUGUUGAAGGAGAGUAACACUGAUGUAUAGAUGCCAUCUUAAAGGGAAUGAAUAUGGAUGUGUUGGGUUUUUUAUUUUGGUUUUUUUGUUUGUUUGUUUUUAGAUUAUAUAUUGUCCAUUAUUAUUAUUUCUUGUGAUUAAAGUACUCCUCCUAAACUAUUCGUAUUUGGGUUCCUUUGAGAACCCAAAUGAGUCUUCCUGUCUUUGAAAUAUACGCUGUUUUAUGGUCUUAGGAAUAAUGUUCUAUGCACAUCUUCACAUCUGCAGUCUCUGCUACUAAAGGAUAAAAACUAAACAUUGUUUAAUUAGUACAUAAGCUUAUUUUAUUUAACUUUAGCCAUAAGGAGGCAUCUAUUCAAGAAAACGGAGGAGGGAUUUCUAAACUCUACACUACUUUUUUGAUGCAAACAUAAUUAAUGAUAAGCAUGUGGAUUUAUUAAAAAGCAUUAAGUGAAAUUCAAAACAAACAAAC
ensembl:lncRNA